UUGGAGGGCAAGUCUGGUGCCAGCAGCCGCGGUAAUUCCAGCUCCAAUAGCGUAUAUUAAAGUUGUUGCAGUUAAAAAGCUCGUAGUUGAAUUUCGGGAUCAAUAUGCUGGUCGUGCCAUUGGUACGUACUAGUAUUAUUGGUUUCUUCCUUCUGAUGAAUCAUGAUGUCAUUAAGUUGAUGUCAUGGGGAAUCAGGACUGUUACUUUGAAAAAAUUAGAGUGUUUAAAGCAGGCUCGCGCUUGAAUACAUUAGCAUGGAAUAAUGAAAUAAGACGUUUGAUUCUAUUUUGUUGGUUUCUAGGAUUGACGUAAUGAUUAAUAGGGAUAGUUGGGGGCAUUAGUAUUCAAUUGUCAGAGGUGAAAUUCUUGGAUUUAUUGAAGACUAACUACUGCGAAAGCAUUUGCCAAGGAUGUUUUCAUUAAUCAAGAACGAAAGUUAGGGGAUCGAAGACGAUCAGAUACCGUCGUAGUCUUAACCAUAAACUAUGCCGACUAGGGAUCGGAUGAUGUUAAUUUUUUAAUGACUCACUCGGCGCCUUACGGGAAACCAAAGUGUUUGGGUU
rnacentral:rRNA from 1 species